rnacentral:tRNA from 1 species
UGUGGUGUGGCUCAGUUGAUAGAGUNCUUGCUUAGCAUUCAUGAAGCUCUGGGUUCGAUCCCCAGCACCCAA